UUGUUCUGAAGAUGCAUUUAUUUAGGAUGAAGGAAUUUGAAAAUGUCAGGAGAUGCAAAAGAUCUUCAAGCUCAUCAAGAACCAUUCUCCACCCAGUAUAGGAAUGUCUACUAGAGUCUCAGGACAGAUGGCCUCUCUGCAGCUGCCUGGAUAGUUUCAUGCUCUUCAUCUUAAGGCACGACCUGUGUGGUAUCAAUGGUAUUUCUCCACGAUGGCUCUGAAAUCACUUGACAGUUCAGAUGGAAUGACUUUUGAUCUUCCUAAAGACUGCACCCUAUUGAGAGUAAUACAACCACUAGAAUUCAGAAUUGGAAAGGACUUUAAGGAUUAUUUAAGCACAGUUCCUACAGGUAAAUACCAGAACUCAAAGGGGCAUCAAGAUUUUACGUGAAUCAGCUUCCCAUCUCCAGUAAUAUUGCCAUGAAUUGAGUUCACCUUUCCUCCGCAUGGAACAAACAGCAUUUCACUGUAAAUCUCAUUUACCUGAUGUGAGAAAAAGAAGAAAAGCAUGCUCCUUUCCAUCAAAUCCCCGGAGACAUUCUCUGCAGCUCCCCUCCCCCUCUUCACAAUCUGCAGUAAUGAACUGCAUUACUUCCUAUCCAUACCCACCAGGUGAAAGGGAAAUAAAAAUGG